CUCUACACUCUGCACAGUAGGCAGAAGUACCUCAUCACGUAGACAAGGAAUCAUGAGGAGACACUGGGGAGCUCUCCUGGGGCUCCUGUGCAUCCAGGUUUGCUGGGUAAGAGGGAUGACGGUGGAGCAGAGCCCUUCAGCCCUGAACCUCCAGGAGGGAGCCAGCUCUACUCUCCAGUGUAAUUUUUCCCAAACUGCGAACAAUGUGCAGUGGUUCCGGCAGCACCUCGGGGGCGGCGGUCUCACCUGGCUGUUUUACAUAGCUUCAGGGAUGCAGCACAGUGGGAGGUUAAACUGCACAGUGAAUACUAAGGAUCGGUCCAGCACCCUCCACAUCAGGGCCUCCCGACUGGAAGACUCAGCCACCUACUUGUGUGCGGCGGAGGCACAGUGCUCCCUGGUGAUCUGCAGCCUGCACCCAAACUGCAGCUGGGCCUGUGGCUCCCACCUUUCCUGGGAAAGCCCUUUGCAGGUAAAAAGCUCUUCGAAGGAGCUAGUGCAUCAAGUGACAGAGAUGCUCCUAUCUAGUGCCCUGGAAAAGCAGAUCUUCUGGCAGUUCAGCCAAGGAGAGAAUGUGGAGCAGCAUCCUUCUACCCUGAGUGUCCAGGAGGAAAGCAGCUCGUUAUCAGCUGCAGUUAUUCAGACAGUAACUCAGAUUUACUUCCCCUGGUCUUCAAGAUGA